GAAUGCUGACAUAAGUAACGAUAAAGCGGGUGAAAAGCCCGCUCGCCGGAAGACCAAGGGUUCCUGUCCAACGUUAAUCGGGGCAGGGUGAGUCGACCCCUAAGGCGAGGCCGAAAGGCGUAGUCGAUGGGAAACGGGUUAAUAUUCCCGUACUUGGUGUUACUGCGAAGGGGGGACGGAGAAGGCUAUGUUGGCCGGGCGACGGUUGUCCCGGUUUAAGCGUGUAGGUGUGUGUUCCAGGUAAAUCCGGUUCACUUUAACACUGAGGCGUGAUGACGAGGCACUACGGUGCUGAAGCAACAAAUGCCCUGCUUCCAGGAAAAGCCUCUAAGCAUCAGGUAACAUCAAAUCGUACCCCAAACCGACACAGGUGGUCAGGUAGAGAAUACCAAGGCGCUUGAGAGAACUCGGGUGAAGGAACUAGGCAAAAUGGUGCCGUAACUUCGGGAGAAGGCACGCUGACACGUAGGUGAAGUGAUUUACUCAUGGAGCUGAAGUCAGUCGAAGAUACCAGCUGGCUGCAACUGUUUAUUAAAAACACAGCACUGUGCAAACACGAAAGUGGACGUAUACGGUGUGACGCCUGCCCGGUGCCGGAAGGUUAAUUGAUGGGGUCAGCG
rnacentral:rRNA from 1 species